rnacentral:rRNA from 1 species
UUCCGGUUGAUCCUGCCGGACCUGACUGCUAUCGGAUUGAUACUAAGCCAUGCGAGUCUUUGUAGUAAUACAAGGCAGACGGCUCAGUAACACGUAGUCAACCUACCCUAUGGACAAGAAUAAUCUCGGGAAACUGAGCAUAAUUCUUGAUAGAUCAUAAUGCCUGGAAUGGUUUAUGGUUGAAAUGAUUCGUCGCCAUAGGAUGGGACCGCGGCCUAUCAGCUUGUUGGUGAGGUAAUGGCCCACCAAGGCGAUUACAGGUACGGGCUCUGAGAGGAGAAGCCCGGAGAUGGGUACUGAGACACGGACCCAGGCCCUAUGGGGCGCAGCAGGCGAGAAAACUUUGCAAUGUGCGAAAGCACGACAAGGUUAAUCCGAGUGAUUUCUGCUAAAGAAAUCUUUUGCUAGUCAUAAAACCACUAGUGAAUAAGGGGUGGGCAAGUUCUGGUGUCAGCCGCCGCGGUAAAACCAGCACCUCAAGUGGUCAGGAUGAUUAUUGGGCCUAAAGCAUCCGUAGCCGGCUUUGUUAGUUUUCGGUUAAAUUCAUGUGCUCAACGCAUGGGCUGCCGAAAAUACUGCAUGGCUAGGGAGUGGGAGAGGUAGACGGUACUCAAUAGGAAGGGGUAAAAUCCUUUGAUCUAUUGAUGACCACCUGUGGCGAAGGCGGUCUACCAGAACACGUUCGACGGUGAGGGAUGAAAGCUGGGGGAGCAAACCGGAUUAGAUACCCGGGUAGUCCCAGCUGUAAACGAUGCAGACUCGAUGAUGCAUUGGCAUAAUAGCCAAUGCAGUGUCGCAGGGAAGCCGUUAAGUCUGCCGCCUGGGAAGUACGUACGCAAGUAUGAAACUUAAAGGAAUUGGCGGGGGAGCACCACAAGGGGUGAAGCCUGCGGUUCAAUUGGAUUCAACGCCGGA